UCGAACGGCAGCACGGGAGCUUGCUCCUGGUGGCGAGUGGCGAACGGGUGAGUAAAGCAUCGGAACGUACCUUGUCGAGGGGGAUAACGCAGCGAAAGUUGUGCUAAUACCGCAUACGUCCUGAGGGAGAAAGCGGGGGACCGCAAGGCCUCGCGCGAUGAGAGCGGCCGAUGUCAGAUUAGCUAGUUGGUGAGGUAAAGGCUCACCAAGGCGACGAUCUGUAGCGGGUCUGAGAGGAUGAUCCGCCACACUGGGACUGAGACACGGCCCAGACUCCUACGGGAGGCAGCAGUGGGGAAUUUUGGACAAUGGGGGAAACCCUGAUCCAGCCAUGCCGCGUGAGUGAAGAAGGCCUUCGGGUUGUAAAGCUCUUUCGGCCGGGAAAAAAUUGCACGGAUGAACAGUCUGUGUAGAUGAUGGUACCGGACUAAGAAGCACCGGCUAACUACGUGCCAGCAGCCGCGGUAAUA
rnacentral:rRNA from 1 species